AGCGAACGCUGGCGGCAGGCUUAACACAUGCAAGUCGAGCGGGCAUAGCAAUAUGUCAGCGGCAGACGGGUGAGUAACGCGUGGGAACGUACCUUUUGGUUCGGAACAACUGAGGGAAACUUCAGCUAAUACCGGAUAAGCCCUUACGGGGAAAGAUUUAUCGCCGAAAGAUCGGCCCGCGUCUGAUUAGCUAGUUGGUGAGGUAAUGGCUCACCAAGGCGACGAUCAGUAGCUGGUCUGAGAGGAUGAUCAGCCACAUUGGGACUGAGACACGGCCCAAACUCCUACGGGAGGCAGCAGUGGGGAAUAUUGGACAAUGGGCGCAAGCCUGAUCCAGCCAUGCCGCGUGAGUGAUGAAGGCCCUAGGGUUGUAAAGCUCUUUUGUGCGGGAAGAUAAUGACGGUACCGCAAGAAUAAGCCCCGGCUAACUUCGUGCCAGCCGCCGCAGUAA
rnacentral:rRNA from 1 species